AGCCUGUCACCUUGCAACGGAUGGUGUAGGGCUUGCCGAUCUUGUUCCCCUAGUAACCUCUGCGCACGGGGACAAUGGAGAGCUAGGCCAGGAUGAUGGCCCUGUGGAUGGCAGUGGCCACCUCCUUGGAGCACUUAACACCCAGACCGACGUGACCGUUGUAGUCCGCGAUGGCCACAAACGCCUUGAACCUGGUUCGCUGGCCGGCUCCGGUCUGCUUCUGCACCGGCAUAAUCUUCAAAACCUAGGCCUCGAGAGAGGCCCCCCAGGAAAAAAUCAAUGAUCUCAGAUUCCGUGAUGGGCAGGGAGAAGAGACAGAUCUCCUCCAGGGAAGUGAUCUUCAUGUCCUUGACCAGGCAGCCCAGCUUGCUGACGGGCAUCCACUCCUUAUCCUUGGCCUUGCCUCCGCGAGCUCCGUGGCUUCGGCCCCAGCCUGGUCCACGGCAGUGACCCCGGCCUCCGAUGCGACUGCCGAAACCUCCACAGAAGCCACCGUGGUUCCCCAGCCCAGGGCCCCCGGGGCCUCCGGGAUGCCCCCCCGCCCCGCCACCGCCGGCUGCACCGGCGUCAUCCGCCAUUUGGUGUUUUCUCGGAGAAGAAGCUACAUGUGGAAUAUAUUAACGCAACAAAUUGUGCGUACUUGCUAGACAUUAGGCAUGAUAGUAAGUGCUAGGGUUACAAAGUAUUGCUUUUUGGGGAACCCAUGGUUGUUGGGGAGAAACCAGAAGAUCAGUCAUCACAGUGCGGCAAGAUCAGACUUGUGGUUUGUUCAGGUUCUGGGAGCCGUCACUGCAGUGAGAAUGGGACCCUGGUUGAAGGAACAUGUUGUUCUUAUGGUGGAGGGCAGAAACCCAAGAGGGCUGGAGCCAAUCCAUAACUCAGGCACGUGGCCACAUCUAACAGCAAGGGAGUCUGGAAAACACAGUUCAGCUGUGUGAAGGAUAUUUAUAAACAUUUAGCAAGAUCCAAAGGAAUGGACCAUAGCAUAGCCCUGUUUUCUUUAGACGCUGACUCCUGCUGUCCACCAGAUCCUCGUGGUGCAAUGACUGGUGUAGACUGGCUUGUUGAAGUCACUCUCUGGAUCUGAGCAACGUUGGCUGAGCCGUGAUGAAGUACUCCUAUCCAUCCACUAUGCUUCACAGUGGGAAUCUCUCCCUGUUCAUCACCACUGCCCUAGCAGCCGCAGGGAUUCUUCACCCAUGGUUGCUUAGGUUUAUAAGCAAGGAAGCUGAAUGAAGUCCCUUUCCUCUCUGGGUGAGCCCCUGGGUUUCUGGAAGAGUCUUAAAAUCACCCCUAAAUGGCUUCCAAGCACUGAAGCCCGAGAUGUCAGCUGGCCUGUGUGAGGCCUUGAGACAGAAUGCCACAGCCACACCCCAAGGAUGCUGAAGGGGAUUUCCCUCCUCUGUGGUUUUUCUCCUUUCUUCCCACAGUACUCCUCCUACGUGCUAACAUCUUCUAGUCAAACAACUCUCCUUUUCAAAGGGACCAGGCACAGUUUCUGCUUAUCCCUGAGUAGCAGUGUUCAGUUUCCUGCCAGCCUGUGGAGUUUUUCAAACAAGCCAAUCACCUCCUCCUGUGGGAACUGAGAAGCACCCCACCCUCUCGAUACUACAAAGCCCCUGCUUGUUCCCUAGUGCAACUCCCAUGUGGUCCUGUGGAGCAUAUGGUAUCUUCCUCUUCUGGGCAGUGAGCAUAUGUGACUAAUAAACUGUCUAUCUCA
rnacentral:antisense_RNA from 1 species